rnacentral:rRNA from 1 species
UACAGAGGGUGCAAGCGUUGUUCGGAAUCACUGGGCGUAAAGCGCGCGUAGGCGGCGAUGCAAGUCAGAGGUGAAAGCCUGGAGCUUAACUCCAGAAUUGCCUUUGAAACUGCAUUGCUAGAGUGUCGGAGGGGAUAGCGGAAUUCCUAAUGUAGAGGUGAAAUUCGUAGAUAUUAGGAGGAACACCGGUGGCGAAGGCGGCUAUCUGGACGACAACUGACGCUGAGGCGCGAAAGCGCGGGGAUCAAACAGG